rnacentral:lncRNA from 1 species
CACAAGGCAUCAGCUAGCCAAACUCUACUUCGACCACUAUAAACUAACAAUGACUCAUUUGAGAAUAGAAAUUCAAACAUUAGACGGAGACCGACGACAAGACACAACAACACAUGAACCAGACUCUAUGACAAAAAACUAAAAGGGGGUGACUGCUGGUGAGAUAGAUGGUGAUCCUAUGAAAUGAGUUCCAAAGUUCCAAACUUUUUUCUUAUAAUAAUCUGU